GUCAGUAUGUCUGAUAGUGUGUGUGUGUCAGUAUGUCUGACAGUGUGUCUGUGUGUGUGUGUGUGUGUGUGUCAGUAUGUCUGACAGUGUAUGUGUCUGUGUGUGUCAGUAUGUCUGUGUAUGUCAGUAUGUCUGAUAGUGUAUGUGUGUAUGUCAGUAUGUUUGACAGUGUCUGUAUCUGUGUGUGUGUCAGAAGGUCUGUGUGAGUGUAUGUCAGUAUGUCUGACAGUGUAUGUCUCUGUGUGUGUCAGUAUGUCUCUGUGUGUGUCAGUAUGUCUGGUGUGUGUGUGUGUGUGUGUGUGUGUGUCAGUAUGUCUGGCAGUGUGUCUGUGUAUGUCAGUAUGUCUGAUAGUGUAUGUCAGUAUGUUUGACAGUGUCUGUAUCUGUGUGUGUGUCAGGUCUGUGUGAGUGUAUGUCAGUAUGUCUGACUGUGUAUGUAUCUGUGUGUGUCAGUAUGUCUGUCAGUGUGUGUGCCUGUUUGUGUGUCAGUAUGCCUAUUAGUGUGUAUGUGUGUGUGUGUGUGUCAGCAUAUCUAUCAGUGUAUGUAUCUGUGUGUCAGUAUGUCUCUGUGUGUGUCAGUAUGUCUUCCAGUGUAUGUGUGUGUGUGUGUCAGGCACAUACACUGAUAUACAUACUGAUACAGGCACACUAAUAGACAUACUGACACACACAGGCACAUACAAUGACAAACAUACACUGAUAGACAUACUGACACACACACACAUGCACAUAUACAGACAUACUGACACACACAAACACACACUUAUACUGAUAGCUAUCCUGACACACACACACACAGGCACAUAUACAGACAUACUGACACACACACAGCCACAUAUGCUGAUAGAGAUACUGUGUGUGUGUUAGUAUGUCUGUAUAUGUGCCUGUUUGUGUGUGUGUGUGUCAGUAUGUCUAUCAGUGUUUGUGCCUGUGUGUGUCAGUAUGUUUGUCAUCAUAUGUGCCUGUGAGACCGUUUGUGUCAGUGUGUCUUUCAGUAUGUCUAUCAUUGUAUGUAUUUAUGUGUGUCAGUAUGUCUGUUUAUCUGUCUGUGUAUCUGUAUGUGUCUGUGUGUUUAUCUGUGUGCGUAUAUGUAUGUAGUCAGUGUGUGUAUCUGCUUGUGUGUCAGCAUGUCUACCG